AAUUAAAACAAAAGACAAGGAGAAGCUUCAACUUAAAUCAAAUGGUUAAAGGAGGGUUGGAAAAGUCCAUAUUACAACAACAGUAUUUUUUAAGUGACAAAAACUAAAUAAUAAUCAACUCGUUGAUAUAGAUAUAUUUAAAUGUGUUAAAAAUCUUGAAUAUGAAUAAGAAACAAGAAGAAUCAACGACGAAAAAGCGGCGAUUGGAGAGUGAGGUCUCACAAUCGUCUGGCAUAACAAACCUUUCAAAUGUUACUGAGACCACUGAAUUAACUAGUGAUUUUGAAAACAUCAACUCCGAUUCCUCUUCUGUUAAUCAGUUUGACGCUCGCAACGGCCGACAUCUGAGUACAACAAAUGGCGCCACAAUCCAGCAGAUGCAAAGUGUUCAAGCAAAAGGUGCUAAGGGGCAAUUUGCUACAAAAGGCCAAGUUUCAUGGAACUUCGAAUUCGAUGAUGACGAGACCUUUGAAAAGGAAAGAGUGAAAGGAGACACGCCGGCACAGCAAUUGAAUCCUGGACAAUAUGAUAAUAAUUUUGCUGGAACAAACAACAGCCAUCGGAGAGUUUUUCGAGAUACAAUGAGUAGUCUCGACACUUUUGGUCUUUCAUACAAUAAACAACCUUUUGACGAAGCAUAUGACCGAAAUAAUUGUAUUUUUCAAUCAAACCUAAGGAGCAACACAACCUCGCAAAUUCACGGUCAUGAGAACGAGAUUCAGAGGCAAAUACUAUUAGACGAACUUACCAGACGGAAUAAUGCUCAACAGCUUCAAAGCAGACGAUCUCAGAGUGCGACAUCUUUGCGCGUUAAUAGUGUACAGAACCGGUCCGAUAGUCAUCUGUACGAGUCUCUUCAAUCGCAAAAUGCAGCACAAAAUAUAUUAAAUAAUAAUCCUCCAGUACAAACAGUUGUACACAUGACUUCAAAUGAUUCAAAUUACUUACAUCCGGUGACUGAAACACAAAUUCACAGGAACAAUUUAAGAAAGGCGAAAAACAUGUCCGCGAUUUCUGGCGAUGAAUCUUCCGCAUAUGCUGAUGUCAUGCAACAUAAUGAACCUUUUGAUAUAGGUCAAUGUCAGAAAAAAUGUUAUGACUUUUGCAACAAUUCAUUUUACCGGAAGGGGUUCUAUAUAUUACUGAUUUUCAAUGUGAUACUCAUUCUGCUGAACACAUUCGGACUGCCUUACGUCUAUUUUGCCAUAAAUCAGAAAAAAGAAGUUAGUAAAGCCGCGAACCUGAACGAAGGAGGAGAGUUUGCCAGUGCAGUGCAUUCCGAGUUAUGUGUGAAAUGCGACAAACUAAAUGAAGUGGUGAAUUCUAGUGACGUUUCCUACAAAGACGGACAGUGUUGUAUUAAGUCGGCCGAAAAAUUACUACCAAUACUUCUGGGGAUUGUGGAUGAUAUAGCAGGUGUUCCGCCACCAGAGAAAACAGCCAAUGUUCCUGUCAUUCAACUGAGAGCUGACACGCAAAGAAACAAAAAUCAGACAAAAAUUAUUUGGCAAAAAAAGCCAGAUGUUGGGAACUUUAGCUCCAAUGUUACAGACGACGAAAUAAAAGUUCCAAAGACUGGAUAUUAUUAUGUGUACAGCCGAGUACAUUAUAACCUUCCGGCAUACAAAGACGAGUCAGAAGAGUUUACCAUCGUACAUACAAUUUAUAAAACUAAAAAGGAUGACACUGAAAGUCCACUAGAUGAAGUAGUCCAAAGAUGUUUUCCUACUAACAAUACUGGUGACGUCAGACAUGCAAAUCAGCUUGGAUCAAUUCACCAUUUAAAGAAAGGCGACAGACUUUUCAUAAAAUUACGUUAUCCACAAUAUUUACUUCCUGAAAAUACACUAUUUGGAUGGUUCAUGGUAGCAACUUAGUUGCCUUAAUUUCGACAAACUUCGUAUAAAUUCGGUAAACUUCGCAUUACUUUAGCAAACUUCGUAUAACUUUGGCAAACUUCGUAUUUAAACUUCGAUAUACUUUGUGUAACAUCGGCAAAUUUCGUACAAUUUCGGCAUGUUUGGUUCUUUUUAAAAUGACACGGGUUUUUAUUUCUCUCAUUGUCAUUAAAACGUUUGUUGAAUCUGUGUUUAUGCGGAAUAAUGGCAUAAUAUGUUUUCAGGUUUGUCUUGUUUAUUGUGAUUUAAUAUGUAUUGAAUGAUUUUUCAAAAAAAAACAGCUGUAAUACCUUUUAUUUGUAAGAAAUUUGACCUCAAUCAACGCAUUUAUUUUUCAUUUAUUUCAUAUUUCAUGUGAAGACUAUUCAAACGUCAUUUCUUUUAUUUUUAAAUUUUAAAAGUAUUAUAGAUAAUAUUGAUUUGUCUAACCGUGACUGUGUAAAUAGUAAAUAGUUUAACAUCUGUGUUACGCAAUGUGGCAGAUCCAUUACUAGUAUUUGGUAAAUGUUGUACUUUUAACGAUAACGUCUAUUUUAGUGAUAGCUCGUGUAUAGAAUACUCUGACUGGUUUGAUAGAGAAUGUAUCAAUGCUAGAACUUUGUAUUUAGAUGCUUUAAAGGUUUUAAUAGAAAUAAUAAUGAUAUCUACAGAAUAAAUUUGUGUAAAUAUAAAACGGAAUGUAUUAUUCGUAAAAAGAAAAGAAUACAUUAUUGUAAGAAGAUGUCCAAUAUAGAAAAUUUAAAAAAAAAGUAAACCGAAGCAGUUUUGGAAAUAUUUUAAAAAUAAGUCGUCUGCAGACAAUAGCAAUAUUCCAAUAGAUGUUUUUAAAGAAUAUUUUGCUAAUUUAAGUAAUGAUAUAUCAAAAUGUACAAUAUUGAGGCUGAAUUUUUUUGUGAAGAUUAUUGUUUUGAUGAGAUAAAUACUGAGUAUGAUGAGUUAGAUAAACCGAUUACUUUAAAUGAAGUUCAAAAUGCCGUAAAAAUGUUAAAACGUGGAAAAUCAUUAGGUAGUGAUUGUUUAAUGAAUGAAUACUUCACAGAAAGCUUCGAUAUUUUAGGUGCCCAUAUAUGUGAUAUAUUUAAUGUUGUGUUAAACUCUGUUUUUUUAUGCAGAACAAUGGACAGAGGGAAUUAUAAUCCAUCUUCAUAAGAAGGGACUAUAGAGGCAUAACAUUAGUUAGUUGUUUGUCAAAAUUAUUUACCACUCUACUUAAUGUUAGAAUAUAAUCAUUUUCUGAAAGUAACAAUAUCAUAUCAGAUGCACAAUUUGGUUUACUACCGAUGCAAUUUUUGUUCUUAUGUCAUUAAUUCAAAAGAUUUGUUAAUGAAAAUAAACGUUUAUAUGUUGUUUAAUGUUAAAUGUUUUGACAGUAUAUAUAGAAAUGCACUAUGGCUGAAAAUGUAUAAAUUAGGAAUAAAAGGUAAAUUGCUGCGUAUUAUAUGAGACAUGUAUCAAAAAGUUAAAUCUUGUGUCAAAUCUUGUUCGAAUUAUUCUGAUUAUUUUUAUUAUGCUAUUUGAUUACGACAAGGGAGGUUAUUUCACCAAUUUUAGUUUCUCUCUUUGUAGAGGAUUUAGAGUUAUAUUUGCAAACUGAUCAUGAAUCAGGACUCUCAUUUGAUGAUGUUAUUUUGAUUUUAUUGUUAUUUCCUGACGAUAUGGCCGUCUUAGGCAAGUCACUGGAACUGCAAAACCAUUUGGAUCUUUUACAUUCAUAUUGCUCUACAUGGGGAUUAAAAGUAAAUACAAGCAAACCAAAAGUAAUUCUUUUUUCGAAAACGAGGGGGGUUAUUGCAAAAUGAGAACUGGACCUAUGAUGGCCAAAUUUACGAAGUUGUGAAUGUUUUUAAUUAUUUUGGAAAAUUAGGUACUGUUUUUUAAUUAUACAAGCAAUUUUUCGCUUAACCGGAACACUUGGUAGGGAAAUCUUUAAAAGCUCUUAAUGUUUUGAUUUACAAUUGUAAAAAGUUUGAUCUUAAACCUAAGAUAUUAUGUCAAUUAUUUGAUGCUUUCAUUUGGUCUAUUUUAGGAUAUGGGUCUGAAAUUUGGGGUUACACGAAAUCUAAAGAAUUGGAAAGAAUCCACUUAAAAUUUUGUAAACGUUUGCUUAAUGUUAGAACGAAUACUUGUUCUGCUGCAGUAUAUGGUGAGUUGGGGCGUUAUCCGCUGUAUAUGACUCGUUACGUAAGAAUUGUCAAGUUUUGGCGUAAGUUGAAAAACACUGAUAAUAUUGUUUUAAAAACUAUGUAUGAAGAUGGUUUAUCUGAUUGUAAUAAAGGACACCGCAAUUUGAAUUCAAAUGUUGAAAAGCUACUCUGUAAUUAUGGUUUUGCUGAAAUUUUUAAUGAAAAUUGCGUUGAAUCAAAAGUGUUCCCUAUCAUUUUUAAACGUAGAGUUAUAGACACUUUAAUACAAGAAUGGACAGCUACGUUAGAACGUAGCCCAGUUUUGUUUAAUUACAAUAAUUUUAAGCUUAAUUUUGGUUAUGAAAGUUAUCUUGAUAUUCUGCCUUGUAAAUAUGGAUAUUAUUUUUGUAGAUUUAGAUUAUCUGUACAUCCUUUAAGAAUACAGACUGGGAGAUACAAUAGGAAUAAUAUACCUCGUGAUCAGCGAUAUUGUCUAUGUUGCAAUACAUUUGACAUAGAUGAUGAAUAUCAUUUUAUAUGUGUAUGCCCUUGUUUUAAUAGUCUUCGAAUGCAGUAUCUUAAAAAAUGUUAUUAUGUUAGACCUUCUGUGCUUAAAUUUAUAGAUCUACUUUCAACGCAAAGUAAAACUGUUUUAAUUAAGUUAUCAAAAUAUAUCAAAGAAUCUUUACCGUUGAGAAACACAAUCAUUAACUCUAAACAUAAUUGAAUUGUUUUUAUCUUCUUGCAUAAAGUUUGUCCUCUUUAAUCAUUGUUUAUUUAUUUAAACAUGUUGUUUAUGAUUUGAAUGUUUUUGCAUGCCAUGUGACUAUGUCUAAUCAAAUCUUUUGUUAACAAGACGAUGUACAUAUGUAUAAAUCUGUAAAUUAAAGUCUGUUCUGUUCUGCUCUGUUCUGUAAAAGCUGGGUACUGUCAAGCUAUGUACUCGUAUAUGGCAUGUUAAAAGAGUGGCAUUUCUGAAUCUGUAAUUACAUUAUUUAAUAAUGCUUUUGGGAAACAUAAACAAUCGCAUUUUUGAGGCUUAAUAGAUCUUAAAGUAACACAAUAUGAUGUGAGAAAAUGAUAAAAGGAAGUCAUCUUACUCGAAAGUAUGGUAAAAGUUACUCUUAAACAAUGUAAUAUUUUAGGUAUCUUUUGUAUCUUUUUUCCUGUUCUUUGUUGUUCUUUUUUUAUUUUUACAUGGUCAUUUUAAAAAAUAUGUGGCAUCUGUUUAUUUUAUACCCUGUUCAUUGAAUAAUGCAUAAUGAAAACAUAACAAAAUACUAGUACCAAACGAGAUCAGAACGAACACAUUGCACAGUAUCUGUGAGGUAAACCCUGCUUGUGGGCAGCAGUGUUUUUGCAUGCUUUAGUGCACGCCUAAAGCACCGAAGUAAGCAAUAUUGCACGUUUAAAUCUGAAGAGGUUAAUUCAAGUAACAAUCGCAGAUAUAAUCAUUCAACCUUGAGUAUGGAACUUUCUGUUUGCCAUUUUAGUGCCAAUCCUUUGGUCUUCGUUGCUUAUCAAUUCUCAAAUAAAAUGCUAAUAUUUUAAA